rnacentral:rRNA from 1 species
CCUGGCUCACGAUGAACGCUAGCUACAGGCUUAACACAUGCAAGUCGAGGGGCAGCAUGGUCUUAGCUUGCUAAGGCCGAUGGCGACCGGCGCACGGGUGAGUAACACGUAUCCAACCUGCCGUCUACUCUUGGACAGCCUUCUGAAAGGAAGAUUAAUACAAGAUGGCAUCAUGAGUCCGCAUGUUCACAUGAUUAAAGGUAUUCCGGUAGACGAUGGGGAUGCGUUCCAUUAGAUAGUAGGCGGGGUAACGGCCCACCUAGUCUUCGAUGGAUAGGGGUUCUGAGAGGAAGGUCCCCCACAUUGGAACUGAGACACGGUCCAAACUCCUACGGGAGGCAGCAGUGAGGAAUAUUGGUCAAUGGGCGAGAGCCUGAACCAGCCAAGUAGCGUGAAGGAUGACUGCCCUAUGGGUUGUAAACUUCUUUUAUAAAGGAAUAAAGUCGGGUAUGGAUACCCGUUUGCAUGUACUUUAUGAAUAAGGAUCGGCUAACUCCGUGCCAGCAGCCGCGGUAAUACGGAGGAUCCGAGCGUUAUCCGGAUUUAUUGGGUUUAAAGGGAGCGUAGAUGGAUGUUUAAGUCAGUUGUGAAAGUUUGCGGCUCAACCGUAAAAUUGCAGUUGAUACUGGAUAUCUUGAGUGCAGUUGAGGCAGGCGGAAUUCGUGGUGUAGCGGUGAAAUGCUUAGAUAUCACGAAGAACUCCGAUUGCGAAGGCAGCCUGCUAAGCUGCAACUGACAUUGAGGCUCGAAAGUGUGGGUAUCAAACAGGAUUAGAUACCCUGGUAGUCCACACGGUAAACGAUGAAUACUCGCUGUUUGCGAUAUACUGCAAGCGGCCAAGCGAAAGCGUUAAGUAUUCCACCUGGGGAGUACGCCGGCAACGGUGAAACUCAAAGGAAUUGACGGGGGCCCGCACAAGCGGAGGAACAUGUGGUUUAAUUCGAUGAUACGCGAGGAACCUUACCCGGGCUUAAAUUGCAGAUGAAUUACGGUGAAAGCCGUAAGCCGCAAGGCAUCUGUGAAGGUGCUGCAUGGUUGUCGUCAGCUCGUGCCGUGAGGUGUCGGCUUAAGUGCCAUAACGAGCGCAACCCUUGUUGUCAGUUACUAACAGGUUCCGCUGAGGACUCUGACAAGACUGCCAUCGUAAGAUGUGAGGAAGGUGGGGAUGACGUCAAAUCAGCACGGCCCUUACGUCCGGGGCUACACACGUGUUACAAUGGGGGGUACAGAGGGCCGCUACCACGCGAGUGGAUGCCAAUCCCCAAAACCUCUCUCAGUUCGGACUGGAGUCUGCAACCCGACUCCACGAAGCUGGAUUCGCUAGUAAUCGCGCAUCAGCCACGGCGCGGUGAAUACGUUCCCGGGCCU